rnacentral:rRNA from 1 species
UUCGAGAUGAGGACUCCCACCCACUUGAUGGGGUAAGGCUCCCAGUAGACGACUGGGUUGAUAGGCCGGAUCUGGAAGCACGGUAACGUGUGGAGGUGACCGGUACUAAUAGGCCGAGGGCUUGUCCAU